UCGAGUAUCGUAAAAGAAGCCUCAACAGCUCAACGGGUAUAGGAGCGGACUGAAAUCCGGAAGGUCGGCGGUUCAAACCCCACCCGUUGCACUAUUGUCGUACCCACUCCUACCACAAGCUUUACGCUUAGUUGGAUGGGAAAGGGGAAUGUUAGUCA